GACGAACGCUGGCGGCGCGCCUAACACAUGCAAGUCGAACGAGCGAGAGAGAGCUUGCUUUCUCGAGCGAGUGGCGAACGGGUGAGUAACGCGUGAGGAACCUGCCUCAAAGAGGGGGACAACAGUUGGAAACGACUGCUAAUACCGCAUAAGCCCACGGGUCGGCAUCGACCAGAGGGAAAAGGAGCAAUCCGCUUUGAGAUGGCCUCGCGUCCGAUUAGCUAGUUGGUGAGGUAACGGCCCACCAAGGCGACGAUCGGUAGCCGGACUGAGAGGUUGAACGGCCACAUUGGGACUGAGACACGGCCCAGACUCCUACGGGAGGCAGCAGUGGGGAAUAUUGCACAAUGGGGGAAACCCUGAUGCAGCGACGCCGCGUGGAGGAAGAAGGUCUUCGGAUUGUAAACUCCUGUUGUUGAGGAAGAUAAUGACGGUACUCAACAAGGAAGUGACGGCUAACUACGUGCCAGCAGCCGCGGUAAAACGUAGGUCACAAGCGUUGUCCGGAAUUACUGGGUGUAAAGGGAGCGCAGGCGGGAAGACAAGUUGGAAGUGAAAUCCAUGGGCUCACCCAUGAACUGCUUUCAAAACUGUUUUCUUGAGUAGUGCAGAGGUAGGCGGAAUUCCCGGUGUAGCGGUGGAAUGCGUAGAUAUCGGGAGGAACACCAGUGGCGAAGGCGGCCUACUGGGCACCAACUGACGCUGAGGCUCGAAAGUGUGGGUAGCAAACAGGAUUAGAUACCCUGGUAGUCCACACCGUAAACGAUGAUUACUAGGUGUUGGAGGAUUGACCCCUUCAGUGCCGCAGUUAACACAAUAAGUAAUCCACCUGGGGAGUACGACCGCAAGGUUGAAACUCAAAGGAAUUGACGGGGGCCCGCACAAGCAGUGGAGUAUGUGGUUUAAUUCGACGCAACGCGAAGAACCUUACCAAGUCUUGACAUCCUGCGACGGUUCUGGAAACAGUACUUUCCUUCGGGACGCAGAGACAGGUGGUGCAUGGUUGUCGUCAGCUCGUGUCGUGAGAUGUUGGGUUAAGUCCCGCAACGAGCGCAACCCUUAUGGUCAGUUAUUACGCAAGAGGACUCUGGCCAGACUGCCGUUGACAAAACGGAGGAAGGUGGGGAUGACGUCAAAUCAUCAUGCCCCUUAUGACUUGGGCUACACACGUACUACAAUGGCGUUAAACAAAGAGAAGCAAGACCGCGAGGUGGAGCAAAACUCAGAAACAACGUCCCAGUUCGGACUGCAGGCUGCAACUCGCCUGCACGAAGUCGGAAUUGCUAGUAAUCGUGGAUCAGCAUGCCACGGUGAAUACGUUCCCGGGCCU
rnacentral:rRNA from 1 species